UUUGGUUUUAUAUCCUUGAUCAAAUUCUUUUUCUUUUUCACCACCUUUCUCAAAUUUGGUACACUCUUUUUAAGUGCAGGUGCAUGAAGAGAACAUCGCAAGAAAUAGAGAAAGGAUAAUGCACUUGCUGUCUUUAGUCCCUUCAA
rnacentral:ribozyme from 13 species